rnacentral:rRNA from 1 species
AUUGAACGCUAGCGGCAGGCCUAACACAUGCAAGUCGAGCGAGCGGCGGACGGGUGAGUAAUGUAUGGGGACUGCCCGAUAGAGGGGGAUAACUACUGGAAACGGUAGCUAAUACCGCAUACUAUCGGAUAACCCAUAUGGGAUUAGCUAGUAGGUGAGGUAAUGGCUCACCUAGGCGACGAUCCCUAGCGUGUCUGAGAGGAGGAUCAGCCACACUGGUACUGAGCCACAGUCCACACUCCUACGGAGGCAGCCGUGGGGAAUAUUGCACACUGGGCGCAAGCCUGAUGCAGCCAUGCCGCGUGUAUGAAGAAGGCCCUAGGGUUGUAAAGUACUUUCAGUCGGGAGGCGUUACCGACAGAAGAAGCACCGGCUAACUCCGUGCCAGCAGCCGCGGUAAUAC